UCCGGUGGUUAUGGCUGAAGGGAUCCACCUGUUCCCAUGCCGAACACAGUAGUUAAGCCUUCAUACGCCGAAAGUACUCGACUGGAAACGGUCCGGGA
rnacentral:rRNA from 1 species